rnacentral:tRNA from 1 species
UCCCAUUUGGCUCAGUUGGUAGAGCAUGGCGCUUGCAACGCCAGGGUUGUACAGUAUGAA